rnacentral:other from 1 species
AUUUCUCUGAGAUGUUCGCAAGCGGGCCAGUCCCCUGAGCCGAUAUUCGGUUCGUCCGAGAAGCCUUAAAACUAUGACGACACAUUCACCUUGAACCAAGGGUUCAAGGGUUACAGCCUGCGGCGGCAUCUCGGAGAUUCC